AUUGAACGCUGGCGGCAUGCCUUACACAUGCAAGUCGAACGGCAGCACGGGUGCUUGCACCUGGUGGCGAGUGGCGAACGGGUGAGUAAUACAUCGGAGCAUGUCCUGUAGUGGGGGAUAGCCCGGCGAAAGCCGGAUUAAUACCGCAUACGAUCCACGGAUGAAAGCGGGGGACCUUCGGGCCUCGCGCUAUAGGGUUGGCCGAUGGCUGGUUAGCUAGUUGGUGGGGUAAAGGCCUACCAAGGCGACGAUCAGUAGCUGGUCUGAGAGGACGACCAGCCACACUGGGACUGAGACACGGCCCAGACUCCUACGGGAGGCAGCAGUGGGGAAUUUUGGACAAAGGGCGAAAGCCUGAUCCAGCAAUGCCGCGUGUGUGAAGAAGGACUUCGGGUUGUAAAGCACUUUUGUCCGGAAAGAAAUCCUUGACUCUAAUACAGUCGGGGGAUGACGGUACCGGAAGAAUAAGCACCGGCUAACUACGUG
rnacentral:rRNA from 1 species